CAGGAUGGGUGCUUCUAGGUCCCCUUGCCCCAGACCCCUCUCCCUGGGCUGUGCGGGCCAUUUGCAGGAAUUCCAUGGCAACCUGCCUGGAAAACAAACCCCAAGUUGUGCUACCGAAGAGGGCCAAGCGAACUGCCAGCAGGGACCAAAUCUCAUAACUCAGGAGGGGGUUAUGUUGUUGUCUUAAGCAGCCUGUCCUUUCUUGUGGCUCCCUUUCCCCUUUUGCCUCCUUCUGCAGGAGGGCAGGGGAAUCCUGGGAAAGGCGAGGAGGGGUCAGGAAUGGAGGCAGGGGCAAGCAGGAAGGAGGUAAGGACUGGUUUAGUGAGCACCACCUUGCUCCCUGGCUGUCGCUCGACCUUCAGUCUGACUAGAGGCCUCAUUGAUAUUCCAGUCGUGGCCAGCCUGCAACAAGGAGCUGCACCCAGGGAGCGUGUUCAAACUGUUCAGACACCUGAAUUUUUAUUAAUCCGUCUAAUCCCUCUGGACAGGACUGCAGGAGACGGACAGUCCAUGGAGGCCGCAGAGGGUGGCCGUAUCUAUGCCUGGAUGCCUACCAACACGUGGGCACACCAGGUCCCUGGACUCAGCCCUUUGCUUCUGGGACCACCACCUUGGGGAGGGCUGUCUCCCAUAGCUCCAGAAAGGGCACUUUCCACACUGCGGCCUCCGUGGAGAUUCUUCAGAGCACAGACUCCGCUUCCAUCUCCCACUCGGCCCCCACUGAAGGCGGGAUCCCUUAGGCAAGCUUCGCAGCCUCUCUGGGACUGUUUCCUUGUCAAACAACAGAAGCAAUGCCAUUCCAGUGCCUGCCUCCCAGGACCAUCAGAAGGACGGAAUUCAAAUGCAGAAUGUGCUCAGAGCAGUGCUGGGUGCCUCCUAAGCGCCCUGUUAAGAGUUUGCUAAAUAAAUUGGUCCCAGCUGUGAAAUAUGAGAUCACACAGAUGACAGCCCGUUCAGGUUUGGAAGCUCUCAUAGGCUCCUGAACUGUUUCUCCUUCAAGCCCUUCAUCUGCUCAAUAAAUAUUUAUUGAAU
rnacentral:lncRNA from 1 species